rnacentral:rRNA from 1 species
GACGAUCAGUAGCCGACCUGAGAGGGUGAUCGGCCACAUUGGAACUGAGACACGGUCCAAACUCCUACGGGAGGCAGCAGGGGGGAAUAUUGCACAAUGGGCGAAAGCCUGAUGCAGCAACGCCGCGUGAGUGAUGAAGGCCUUCGGGUCGUAAAACUCUGUCCUCAAGGAAGAUAAUGACGGUACUUGAGGAGGAAGCCCCGGCUAA